CGCCUUAGCGAAAACGGCUACCACAUCCAAGGAAGGCAGCAGGCGCGCAAAUUACCCACUCCCGGCACGGGGAGGUAGUGACGAAAAAUAACGACGCGGGACUCUGUCGAGGCCCCGCGAUCGGAAUGAGCUACACUCAAAUCCGUUAACGAGGACCAACCGGAGGGCAAGUCUGGUGCCAGCAGCCGCGGUAAUUCCAGCUCCGGUAGCGUAUAUUAAAGUUGUUGCGGUUAAAAAGCUUGAUAGUCCGAACUCCAGGUUCGUGGUCGCAUUCGCGGCCCCGGGGCGGCGGCGCCAUCGUCCGUCGUUGACUUUGGUCGUCCGUGCGCAUUCCCGGCCCUUUUCCGCCGGUGUCAACCGCUUGCAUAUCCGCCACGUGGUCCUGCCGGCGAAGUAACGCGGGGAGUAGGGUGUUUCCGGCGGGUUCGCCGCGGAGGUUGCGUGGGGGUUCCUGCGAGCGUCGCCGUCUGCGGUGCAGUGUCGCCGGGUCGUUACGUGGCGCGCGCGGUUAAGACGGUGCGGUCCAACGCGGCGUUUCUCCCAGUCGAUGGCGGCCAGCGGCGUUCACUCGUCGUCUGCGUCGCCGUCGUCGCCUAAAAAGGGCGGGCGUCGCGUCGCCCGUCUCGCGUUGUCGCCGCGGGCUUCACUGCCGCUGUUCUAUCCGCGCGGCGGCCCCUCUUCCCCUCUCGUUCUCCACUCACCUCGGCCCUGCUCUACCUACCUCCGCGUCUAAUCUUCGCGUCCGUUUUGCGCGCGUGCGCGGUCGGCGGUUUCUCCUCCAAGGGUGCUCUUGACCGAGUGUCCGCGGCGGCCGGUACGUUCACUUUGAAAAAUUAGAGUGCUCAAAGCGGGCUUUUCAAGCUUGCAUACGAUAAGCAUGGAAUGAUGGAAGAGGGCCUCGUCUACGUCUGUCGGUCUCCGUCUAGGGCGAGGCAAUGAUCGAAGGAGCGGUCAGGGCCACUCGUAUUGCGACGUUAGAGGUGAAAUUCUUGGACCGUCGCAGGACGAACUGCAGCGAUGGCGUGUGGCAAGCACGUUUUCCUCGAUCAAGAACGAAAGUUGGAGGUUCGAAGACGAUCAGAUACCGUCCUAGUUCCAACCAUAAACGAUGCCGACCGGCGAUCCGCCGGCGUUAUUCCCAUGACCCGCCGGGCAGCUUCCGGGAAACCAAAGUCUUUGGGUUCCGGGGGGAGUAUGGUUGCAAAGCUGAAACUUAAAGGAAUUGACGGAAGGGCACCACCAGGAGUGGAGCCUGCGGCUUAAUUUGACUCAACACGGCA